GCUGUGCAGUGCAGUGCUGUGCAUGGCUGCUGUCACAGGUGCUCCCAUACAGCAGAGCGUGGGCAGAUCCAUGGUGCAAAUCCUUUGUUUUUUCAAACAUGUUCAGAAGGUGAAAAGCAACAGGGCCUGACAGAUGCGAAGUGCACUUCGUUCUUAAGCCGCAACAACUGCUAACAAAGGAACAUUUACACGCUGUCCCAGUCCUGGCUCAGCAGACCACCGGUCACCCACCGGAGCUUCAUGUGGCUCGGGCUUUGCAUGCAGGACAGAUCCCAGCCCAGAAACCCGCAGCCGUAGCAGGAGAUGAGGCCCCAGAUGGACCCUGCAAUGGGAGCGCGAUGCUCAGCUGUGUCAGAGCGCGGCACGGCCCGUUCCCCUCCAAGGGCAGCCCCAGGGACAAGGACAAGGCGGCUUUUCAAGGCUGAUGGGAAGCUCACAGUGUUCCAUUGUAUGUUUUCAAAGCAGAGCACAGUCUUUUUUGGAUGAAAGGACCUCCAGCCCCAAUCUGCCCCAUGACCGAGAUCUGCAGUCGGGAAUGCCACGGGAAGCGCAGACGUAAGGCAGUGGGCAGAAGAUGAGAUUACAGUGACCCGCUGCUCUGUAGGGCUAAUUGUUCCCCUUACGGGAUUAAACUGAUUGAUUUCCUGUCGGAAGCAGCUCCUGGAAGAACAGACUCAGAGCCCCACGUGUACCAAGCUGGGUCCCAAGCAAACCCCAAACCUCUCUGCUUCAUUCCUCUGAAAUCACCGCAGAUGCUGGCUGCCCGGGUGCUCUGCAGACAGACUACACACAUCGUCAUUAUUUCACUGGGUGGAAAGCAAAGCCAUUGCAGCUAUUCAGCAGGGUAGGUUUUAAGCCUUUCUUUGGGAUUUUGGCAUUUAUCAUCCUACCUUUGGCCUUUGUUGAUAGCGAUGCUUCCUUUUUUGGGUGCCGUGCAGCUACAGUACUCAGGGAACUGGAGGAAAGUGAGCUGAGAGUUCCCAAUCCAUGCAGGUCAAGAAGAGUUUGCCUUUUAUCACUCAGAGAUAAGUUCAGCAAACGGACUGUUUUUGGAGGGCUGAGUUCCUCAGAUGCCGACUUUAAGCCUCAGGAAUCGCUGAGGUUUCUGUAGGUGGAUUUCCCAGAAUCUGUACAAUUCAUUCCAGAAUAUUGCGCAGCGUUAACCUGAUUGGGACAGAGGGACAAGGAGCGUGCUAAGGAGUGGGGUAAAGGCACGUGGUCACUGUGCCAGGACUGGGGGUGAGCACAGGACACACCACAACACCCAGCACCGCGCUGAGGCCAUUCCCCUCUGCUCAGGCUCUUUUUCAUCUCUUACAGCACUUUUACAGAAGUUAUCUGCAGAGGCAUCCUCUAUGUCUUCUAUUCUACUUCUCUCUUAAUAUUCCCUAACUUGGUGUUUGUGAGAUCACGGAAAAAUGUAACAGCCCACGUUCGGAACCAUGAAUACAGGCGGUAGCUUUGCUGAGUGGGCAAAAAAUAGAAGUGAUUGCCAGCGUUUGGAUUCUAGCACAUAAGCACAGAUUCAUAAAUGCCUGCAGGAAUGUAACACACCAGCCUCCUUUGCAGCCGCAUCCUGUUCCCUUUGUUCUCAUUCUGCUCCUGCAGCGACUGUUGCCACAACACCAUCCAUCACUGCUUGCCCAGCUGCCAGCAGCCCUGCCUGCUGCCUCCGGUCCGGGUCCCCUCCCUACAUGAGCAGCAUUGGGGUGUAGGUGCCCAUCCCUUCCAGCCGUGUGGGUGAAGAGGUUGUCCCCUUUGGUUCAUCCCUCCCCAUACCUGCUCAUCGGGUUGGCUUCAGCCAGACGAGAUGAGUUUGAACAGGUUUGGUCAUGGGCCAUCCUCACCCAGGGCUCCGAGAAGUGCAGACGUCCCUGCCCGCUCCCUGCCUCUGGCAGCGCCGAGGUCUGCUCACACGCAAGGAGCUGAUGGGCUGUAGGCUCCGAGCCCUGAUCCCUUCCCAGCACACCCCAUGGAGAAACUCAUCCUGCACGAAUGUGCUGCUAUUCGCAGAAAACGGAGGCCUUGACAAAGCUGGAGCGGUUGCUGUAAGUGGUAAGGAAAUACUGUAAUUAUGUAGGACCGUGUGUUGCGUAACUGUGCUAUAAAGGGUUUUCAAGAGGGGCUUUCCGCCUCCUGUUUGUUCUCUCAUAGGCAGUCCGAUCACGGUCACCUAAAGCUUUCUGUGUAAGAAACUCAAGCAAUUUCCUUUGAGCGUCCAUUUGUGGCUUGUUAUUUUACAAAGGGACCUGGUUCCAUUCCAUCGCCCUUCCCGGCCACUUCCUCCAAAUUCCCAAGGAAGCUGUCACCGGGAAGCAGCAGGUGAUGGCCUCCAGCCCUCCCUGUGCCUUGGGCUCCACAAACCUCCCCAGCACGGAAGGUUGCAGCCCCUGCCCAUAGAUGCCCACCUCCUCCAAAGGGACCUGCCAGGGACAGGUCACGCACAAUGCCCUGAAUUAAUCUGGGGGAGUAGAAAAGGCCGUGUGCUGUCCCAGCCUUGGUGGCACAGCGGUGACCUGCACCCACCAGCGGUGAUGUGGGCAGGGUGGGAGGAGCCCGGGGCUGAUGGAUGUCUGCUGCAGGGGCCCCUAUGCACUGAGUGUUGGCUCUGACCCAGUGAAUAUCAGCCCCUUUGUCAGUGUGGCUUUUUGGGUCGGGCCAGAAACAGGAAUGGAUUGCUUGUGAAAUUUCCCAGGUAUUUGCUUUGUAGUCACUGAAUACAAAACCUAUCCGGUUGCUAAUGGAACAGGGAUGUUUCUGAGCACAAUGCAGCUCUUGCUUUUGUUUUGCUUUCCAUAGCCCAGCAUUCUGUGACAUAUAAAACCACCCCAUUUGUUUUUCAUUGCCUGUAAGUAAAUUCCCCUACAAGACCACCGCGGCGCAGAUAUUACAUGGAAGCCAGCCCUGCUCCCAGCCACGUCUCCUGGCCCCAGCGACUUUCUUCUCAGAUCUUUGGUCCCCAGCUCAGCUCCCCGUGCUGGGAAUGAAGUCAUCGCUCCCCAAAGGGCUCCACACAUUACUGUGCUAUUAAAGUUGUGCCAGCGUUUUCUUCACAAGCUUCAGUUCCCACCGUCAUUAGUGGAACGAUGUCCUGUGCCUUGUCGACUUGGGGCCCUAAAUGGAGUUCACUUCAGGGUAAUGCUGAGGACACCUGUUGUUUUCUAAUUGUGGAAGGAAUCAUAUAUUCCUCUUGCUGUGAUUGCCAAGGAAAAAAUGGUAAGGUUUUCUUAGGUAUAAGUUUUCUGCUUUUUGCUCUAGGAUUGGGUAUUCACAAAGAGCUUUGCUGAGAAGAGUGUAUGUAAGCCAAAUGCCACCUCUGGUGUAAAACUAGUGUCAGUGUAUGUGUGACCAGAGAAACAAGAUGGUCCCAUUAAGAAAAUCUGUUCCCCCUCUUACUGUAUCCAGUGGGGUUCUUUCACUGAACUCAGAUAUCUUGAUUCAUUUGAGUUGGACCAAUGAAGACACAGUCAUGACUGAAUUCAGGGCAGCAGCGAUGCUCUGCAGAACCUGGGCUUCCAAUCACUUCAGAUAAAUGUUUUAUUGAAGUGAAUUGAUCUUCUGCUUUGCUGUAUCCGCUCUCCCUCCCCACAGUUCUCAAGGAAGCAGAAUACAGAGCUGCUGAAGUCCAACAGAUUUGCAAUUAGUGCCGUGGAUAAUCUCUCAUGAACGUGUGAUGCUUCCGAACGCUCUGCAACCAGUUUAUAAGGCCACUGAUUUAUAAAUCAGCUUGCAGAGCUCAGAUCUGGGGAUAAGGGCACCUGGUGAUUUCAGGCUGCCCUGUGUUCAUCACCAGCCCAGCCCCAUGCCCCUGGCUUGCUGCUGAGGGAGCUGUGCAAGCACAACCACCUCCCAGGGACAGCCUCUUUGUUCUGGAGUCUGGUCCCCAAAUAAACCUCAGCAUUCUGUGCUGUUAGCUCAUUUGGACUCUCCACAAAGACACUGUGUUUUGGAGAAACUCAUUAAAAAUAUUUUAUUUUUAAAGCAGUCUCUGAGGUUUGUACGCAUUUGCUCUUUAUUUAUUCCUUGAGCCCAAGCUGCAAUUUUUUACCCUUUUUCUGUCUGACUGUAGCCAAAAAAGCCAUUAUAAACCUUGGCCUGCAGCUCUUCGUGAGUCAGUGUCUGGUUUUACAGCGGAGCACAAGCUGGAGGUACCAGUGGGGCUGUUUACAUCGGAUCCCAUUAAUUAGCUGCUGAAGCUGUUCAGGUCCAGGAGCCCACACUGCUGUGCCCCAGCAUGAAAUUUGGGUGUUUUAGCCAGAAAACCCAAACUGUUGUCCCUGCCUUCACACUGGUUGCAGUUGGGAGAGCACCUCCAGGAGGCGCUGGGCAUGCUGCCCAAAAGCUGGGUACCAGCACACGAGCAGCUCCCGUGCUGCCCUCUGCAUCUCAGUGCUUUGCUGGCUUGGCCACGUGGCUGCAGUCCCAAUGACCUCUGCAAACAUUGCUCUGUCGCCUCAGAACAGCUGAGCUUCCAGCCCCGUGUACUGAUUGGCUCACUGCUAAUUAUUUAUUUGGAGAAAUCAGUCGUGAUGCUACAAUAGGGAUUUUUUUUUUUUUUUAACCAGAAAAACCAUCACAAGCAUUGGGCUUCCCAAGUGCAGCAGUAUUCCUAGUCUCCAAGGCAGACAGCAGAUGUGAGCAGGAUCUGGAAGCCCUCCUGAUAAUUCACUGUAAUAAUGGCGUUAGUGGGGGCCACGUCACUAAUUGGGUUGUGAAUGAAACGAAUUGCACAGACACAGCAUUACCACGAAUGCUUAGAACCAGUGAAAACAGAUUGCCCUGGAAGGAAACCAGUCAUUGUAUCAAACUGACCAUAACAUCAUGUGUGUAUUUACUGCCAAGUAUGUUGGCUUUUGGUUGAUUUGACAAAAUACAGCCUCAGCUGCUCUCUGCAGUUGGCACAGUGUCAGGAGGCUGUGCAAAUCGGGGGCUUCCAUCGCCCAGGUUUUUGGAAAGGAGGUGAAAAAAGGAAAAGGCAACGUGGGGUAUUUUUACAGUCACGUCUUAAUUACACAAACAAGGAGUUUGAUGGAUUUGGUGUGGUUUUUAUUUCCUCACUACAAAGAGGGAAUAUUUUCUGGGAGAGGUGUUCCUAAAGCCUCUCCCCUAUUCCUCCCCCUGACCUCCGAGUUACCCCGGCCAGGGAUGACAGAUGCGCUCAGGGGAGGGAGGUGUAAAGGAGAAGUGAGUCACCCAGUACGGAACCCCCAGGAAAAAAACGCACUCGAUGGAAAGAGGUGUUGGAGCAGCAGCUUCGUCUUGGCCACGCGCUGCCUUCUCCCUGGGCUGACUUAGAACUCAGUACCGUGCAACCCAGCUGUCCUUGUGGAGGAAUGCACCGGGAGCAUCACGCUUUGGUGUGGGCGCUGUGGCCCUGGGCUGCUGGCACCUGCGUGGGGGUGCCCAGGGGCAGCUGUCCCCAUGUCAGAGGGGGCUGGAAACUCCCUCAGCCAGAGGCAGUGCCGAAGUUCAGCUGCGGCUGUGGGAUGACCCUCUGGGGCAGAAGCAUGAAGCAAACAACCAAUGGACAAUUGCACUUCUUGGCACACUGUGCAAGGUUUCAAGUUCAAAAUUAGACCU